rnacentral:rRNA from 1 species
GACGAACGCUGGCGGCGUGCUUAACACAUGCAAGUCGAACGGAAAGGCCAUGCUUUUGUGGGGUGCUCGUGUGGCGAGCGGGGGAGUAAAACGUGAGUAAACUGCCCUUGUAUUUGGGAUAAAUUUAGGAAACUGCGGCUAAUACAGGAUAGGAGCUCCUGCAGCACGGUGGGGGAUGGAAAGUUACGGCGGUUGGGGAUGGACUAGAGGCUUAUCCGCUGGUUUGUGGAGUAGUGGCUUCCCAGGGUUUUGAAGGGUAGCCGGCCUGGGAGGUCGACCGGCGUCAUGGGUACUGAGAUACGCCCCAGACUCCUACGGGAGGCAGCGGUGGGGAAUAUGGCACAAUGGGCGGAAGCCUGAGGCGGCAACCCCGCGUUCGUGAUGACGGCCUUCGGGGUGUAAACCGCUUUCGCAUGUGACGAAGCGUGAGUGACGGUAAUGGGUAAAGAAGCACCGGCUAACUACGUG